GGCAGCAUGGCCGAGUGGUCUAAGGCGAUAGACUUGAAUCCGUAAUGGUGAAGUAAUCUAUUCUCUUCGGAGGCGUGUGUUCGAACCACACUGCUGUCG
rfam:Aspergillus sydowii CBS 593.65 ASPSYscaffold_5_Cont257, whole genome shotgun sequence.